rnacentral:rRNA from 1 species
AUUGAACGCUGGCGGCAGGCCUAACACAUGCAAGUCGAGCGAGCGGCGGACGGGUGAGUAAUGUAUGGGGAACUGCCCGAUGGAGGGGGAUAACUACUGGACACGGUGGCUAAUACCGCAUACCAUCGGAUGUACCCAUAUGGGAUUAGCUAGUAGGUGGGGUAAAGGCUCACCUAGGCGACGCUCUCUCGCUGGUCUGAGAGGAUGACCAGGCACAGUGGGACUGUGACACGGCCCAGACGCGGACGGGAGGGAGCAGUGUGGAAGAUGGCACAAUGGGCGAAAGCCGGAUGCAGCGAUGCUGCGGGGAGGAAGAAGGUCGUAGGGUUGUAAACCUCGUUCGCAAGCGAACGGGUAGGUGGAGAAGAAGCACCGGCUAACUACGUGCCAGCAGCCGCGGUAAUUC